rnacentral:rRNA from 1 species
GAUAGUCCCGUAUGCGAAAAACAAAGCUUAGCUAGCAGUAUCCUGAGUAGGGCGGGACACGAGGAAUCCUGUCUGAAUCCGGGUCGACCACGAUCCAACCCUAAAUACUAAUACCAGAUCGAUAGUGCACAAGUACCGUGAGGGAAAGGUGAAAAGAACUGAGGUGAUCAGAGUGAAAUAGAACCUGAAACCAUUUGCUUACAAUCAUUCAGAGCACUAUGUAGCAAUACAGUGUGAUGGACUGCCUUUUGCAUAAUGAGCCUGCGAGUUGUGGUGUCUGGCAAGGUUAAGCAAACGCGAAGCCGUAGCGAAAGCGAGUCUGAAUAGGGCGCUUAGUCAGAUGCUGCAGACCCGAAACGAAGUGAUCUAUCCAUGAGCAAGUUGAAGCUAGUGUAAGAACUAGUGGAGGACUGAACCCAUAGGCGUUGAAAAGCCCCGGGAUGACUUGUGGAUAGGGGUGAAAGGCCAAUCAAACUUCGUGAUAGCUGGUUCUCUCCGAAAUAUAUUUAGGUAUAGCGUUGUGUCGUAAUAUAAGGGGGUAGAGCACUGAAUGGGCUAGGGCAUACACCAAUGUACCAAACCCUAUCAAACUCCGAAUACCUUAUAUGUAAUCACAGCAGUCAGGCGGCGAGUGAUAAAAUCCGUCGUCAAGAGGGAAACAACCCAGACUACCAGCUAAGGUCCCUAAAUCUUACUUAAGUGGAAAACGAUGUGAAGUUACUUAAACAACCAGGAGGUUGGCUUAGAAGCAGCCAUCCUUUAAAGAAAGCGUAAUAGCUCACUGGUCUAGUGAUUUUGCGCGGAAAAUAUAACGGGGCUAAAGUAAGUACCGAAGCUGUAGACUUGCGCACAACUUAGAUUAUUUAAGUUUAGAAUAUGAGAAACUAAGUUAUGUUUAGUUAUAUUUUUACUGAUUUUUAUAGAGUAAAGAUAGAAAUAAAACUUAGUAAAAUCAGUAAAAAUAUUCUUAGGCUAAAGUUAAGUAGUUUAAGUUGUGUGCAAGUGGUAGGAGAGCGUUCUAUUUGCGUCGAAGGUAUACCGGUAAGGAGUGCUGGAGCGAAUAGAAGUGAGCAUGCAGGCAUGAGUAGCGAUAAUUAAUGUGAGAAUCAUUAACGCCGUAAACCCAAGG